CCCCCCGUUGUUUGUUCAGGGGUCGCGACUCGCGAGUGGUCACGGUCCCCGUCUCUGAACAGCCUAGCAAAGCUCGGCCGUCAUCUUUACCCCUUGUCCCCUUCCCUCCCGCUUCGCCGUCGCCGUCGCCGCGAUCUAUCCGCAUCUAGUGCACACGCACUCGUCCCUAUCCCCUUGCGCCGGCGUGUGUCGCGCAGAGAGCGGAGCUUAUCCAUCAUAUUACCAGGACAUGAUGAUUUACCAGUCGCACUCUCACCAACCGCUCUUGUUCGCUACCAGAUCCACAGCGCGCACUUGUGCCUAUUUAUUUAUUGUGGAGGCGUGGGUCGGCAAGGGACUCGGAUCAGCCGCAGUUGAUCUGGAGGCGCGGGCCGGCCAUGGAGGAGGGUGGCGAGCACACGAGUCUUCUGGUCAAGGAUGAUGCAUCAUGUCAUGGCGAGGAAACACAGAGUCUAUUGGAAGCAAAUCUAGGGUCACAGCUGAAAAGUAAAUGCUCUGAUUGGAGAGCACCGGCACUCAUCCUGGGAUUGGAAUGCUUGGAGAGCAUGGCUUUCAAUGGCAUUGCCACAAACCUAGUUGUGUAUCUCCGUUCAGUUCUCCAUGGGGGUAUUGCUUCCAGUGCAGCAACUGUAUCUCUUUGGUAUGGGACAAGCUUCUUUGUGCCAAUUCUUGGAGCCGCCAUAGCAGAUACUUGCUUGGGAAAUUAUAAGACCAUCUUGAUCUCCCUUAUCAUGUACCUAUUUGGAAUAGUACUAAUUACAGUUGCAACGUUCAUGCCUUCUACUUCAGUCUUGUGCGACGUCAGUUCAUGCUUGUCAUCAAAUGGAACUCAAACCGUGAUUUUCUUUGCUGGUUUGUAUCUCACUGCUGUUGGAUGUGGAGGAGUAAGAUCUGCAUUGCUUCCGUUUGGUGCUAACCAGUUCAACAACGAGAACAGUCUAGACAUAAAAAAGAGAAGAAAUUUCUUCAGCUUGUUCUAUAUAUGUGUCAUCUUUGGUGUGAUUACUUCUGGGACAAUCAUAGUUUGGGUUCAGGAAAAUGUUAGCUGGGCUAUUGGAUAUGGAGUCGCCACUACAUGCAUAGGUCUUGCUUUGAUAGGAUUUCUGGUGGGAACACCAAUAUUCCAAGAAGAUGAGCCUUGUGGUUCUCCAGUGAAGAGUAUUUUCCAGGUUAUUGUUGCCUCUUUUAGGAACAUGAGCUUGGAAGUACCUGCUGAUAGCUGUCUUCUGUAUGAGGUCGGGAGCAACCACAUACAAAGGACAAAACUUGCUCACUCUGAUGAUUUUAGGUUCUUAGAUAAGGCGGCAGUUAUUUCUGAUCCAAGCCUGGUGUAUGGAGGCUGUCGAAGCUCAUGGAGCAUAUGUACAGUUACUGAAGUUGAGGAACUGAAAGUACUUAUCCGCUUGCUCCCAAUAUGGGUGACUGGAAUAUUCUUUGGUGCUGCGAUCUCGCAAAUGCACACCACUUUUAUUCAGCAGGGAACUGUGAUGGACACCAAGAUCGGUUCCCUGUCCAUUCCACCAGCAUCCUUAUACUCAUUUGAAGUGAUAUGUGUCACGCUUUGGGUACUUGCUGUCAACAAAGUGCUUGUGCCGGCAAUCCGAACGUAUUUUGCAAAUGGGGUAGAGCUCACACAGUUACAGAGGAUUGGGAUCGGUCGUUUCCUGAUGAUCUUUGCCAUGGCAAUGGCAGCACUUCUAGAAACCAAGAGGCUGCAUAUUGUUCAGGAGGGGGAACUGCUAAGCAUUGUAUGGCAGCUUCCACAGUACUUCGUCAUUGCUGGGGCUGAGUGCUUCGGUAUCAUCACUCAGCUGGAGUUCUUUCGUGGCCAGGCGCCAGACUCCAUGAAGAGCAUUUUAACGGCAUUUGCAUUGCUCACCACUGCCCUUGGGAAUUACUUGAGCUCAGCUAUCAUCACCCUCAUCGCAGGGGUGACCAGGGUAUGGCAUAGCCCUGGUUGGAUACCAGAUGAUCUGAACAAAGGACACCUUGACUACUACUACUGAUAUAUGUUUCUUUUUGUUAAUGAAGAUGGAAUUAGACGUGGACAGAUCUAGCUGAGUAAAUUAGGUGGCUUAUGUGGUUCUGGAACAAUAUAGUAAGAAUUAAGGAAACAUAUUGUUGGGGGUCUGCUUCGUCGCCGAAGGUCCCAUAAGAAGGAACACCUUCGGAAGAUUGACACAAAGUCGAAGCUAUCAAUCAAAGAGCUUCGGAGUACAUUUUCAGAUGCACCGACUUAAAGAUGAAAUGAGCAAUGGGCCUGUGAUAGUUGGUAUUAUGAUUGUAAACAUUUGUAAAGGGCAUGAAUGUAAUUUCUCACAGGCUGUGUCCUGCGCCUAUAAAUAGAUGAACAGUACCCCUAUACUGUUCACGCUAUCUUGUAUUCGCUCGUGCGCAACGCUGGAUUUUUAUCUUCUGUCAAGCCGAAGGUACAAAUGUAAUUAAAUAUCAUCUUUAAUUAUCCAAAUUUAUAUAAUGAAGAUAUGUGAAUGAUGUUAUAUGAUUAU